AGCGCAGGUGGUUUAAUAAGUCUGAUGUAAAAGGCAGUGGCUCAACCAUUGUGUGCAUUGGAAACUGUUAGACUUGAGUGCAGUAGAGGAGAGUGGAACUCCAUGUGUAGCGGUGAAAUGCAUAGAUAUAUGGAGGAACACCGGUGGCGAAAGCGGCUCUCUGGACUGUCACUGCACUGAGGCUCGAAAGCGUGGGUAGCAAACA
rnacentral:rRNA from 1 species